rnacentral:rRNA from 1 species
AAUAGAUACCCAGGUAGUCCACGCCGUAAACGAUGAGUGCUAAGUGUUAGGGGGUUUCCGCCCCUUAGUGCUGCAGCUAACGCAUUAAGCACUCCGCCUGGGGAGUACGGUCGCAAGACUGAAACUCAAAGGAAUUGACGGGGGCCCGCACAAGCGGUGGAGCAUGUGGUUUAAUUCGAAGCAACGCGAAGAACCUUACCAGGUCUUGACAUCCCGCUGACCGCUAUGGAGACAUAGCCUUCCCUUCGGGGACAGCGGUGACAGGUGGUGCAUGGUUGUCGUCAGCUCGUGUCGUGAGAUGUUGGGUUAAGUCCCGCAACGAGCGCAACCCUUGAGAUUAGUUGCCAUCAUUCAGUUGGGCACUCUAAUCUGACUGCCGGUGAUAAACCGGAGGAAGGUGGGGAUGACGUCAAAUCAUCAUGCCCCUUAUGACCUGGGCUACACACGUGCUACAAUGGACGGUACAAACGGUUGCCAACCCGCGAGGGGGAGCCAAUCCGAUAAAACCGCUCUCAGUUCGGAUUGUAGG